GGGAGGGGAACCUCCAGUCCCGGUCCAGCCUUCAGAUGACUGCAACCUCAACUGACAUCCAACUACAACUUAGUGAGUGACUUUGAGCCAGAACUGCCCAGCCAAGCUGUCCCUGAAUUCCUGACCUACAGAAAUCAUGAGAGAUCAUCAGUGGUUAUUGUGCACAGGGUCUGAGACAAUCACAGCAGAGGAGCCUGCAGACAGCAGCGCAGGUG
rnacentral:lncRNA from 10 species